rnacentral:rRNA from 1 species
GUAGCGAUAAGACGGGUGAAAAACCCGUUCGCCGAAAGCCCAAGGUUUCCUGUCCAAGGAUCAUCCGGGCAGGGUAAGUCGGUGCCUAAGGUGUAGCCGAAAGGCGAAGCCGAUGGGAAUCCGGUUAAUAUUCCGGAACCACGAACGAGGAGCAGUGCGGGGACGGAGAAGGGUAGGUCAGCCGGUCAUCGGAUUCCGGUUCAAACCCGUAGGCGGUUCGCGUAGGAAAAAAACGCGCGGGCAACGCCGAGAGGUGACGACGAAGGCCUUCGGGCCGAAGUGAUUGAUCCCACGCUUCCAAGAAAAUCCGCGGGCUGUGUUGAAUCGUUGGUGACCGUACCGCAAACCGACUCAGGUGGGCUGGUGGAGAACACCAAGGCGUUCGAGAGAACCCAGGUUAAGGAACUCGGCAAAUUGACACCGUAACUUCGGGAUAAGGUGUGCCAGAGGUAGGUGAAGGGCUUGCGCCUGGAGCCGAUUCUGGUUGCAACAAAGCGGCGGUAGCGACUGUUUACUAAAAACACAGGGCUCUGCGAAACCGUAAGGUGACGUAUAGGGCCUGACGCCUGCCCGGUGCCGGAAGGUUAAGGGGAGUUGUCAGCGCAAGCGAAGCGACGAACUGAAGCCCCGGUAAACGGCGGCCGUAACGAUAACGGUCCUAAGGUAGCGAAAUUCCUUGUCGGGUAAGUUCCGACCUGCACAAGGGCGUAACGACUUCCGCGCUGUCUCGACCUGGGACUCGGCGAAAUCGACAUGGGGGUGAAGACGCCCUCUACCCGCGGCAAGACGGAAAGACCCUGUGAACCUUUACUGUAGCUUGGCAGUGGUAUUCGGUUCAUUCUGUGUAGGAUAGGUGGGAGCCUAUGAGUCGGGCACGCUAGUGUCCGAGGAGGCACCGUUGAAAUACCACCCUGGAUGUGCUGGAUACCUAACCCCUUCGGGGGGACACUGCCUGGUAGGCAGUUUGACUGGGGCGGUCGCCUCCUAAAGAGUAACGGAGGCGCGCAAAGGUUCCCUCAGCCAGAUCGGAAACCUGGCGAAGAGUGUAAUCGUAUAAGGGAGCUUGACUGCAAGACCGACAGGUCAAGCAGGUGCGAAAGCAGGCGAUAGUGAUCCGUGGUUCCACGUGGACGGGCCAUCGCUCAUCGAAUAAAAGGUACUCCGGGGAUAACAGGCUUAUCGCGCCCAAGAGUUCAUAUCGACGGCGCGGUUUGGCACCUCGAUGUCGGCUCAUCGCAUCCUGGGGCUGGAGCAGGUCCCAAGGGUAUGGCUGUUCGCCAUUUAAAGCGGUACGCGAGCUGGGUUUAGAACGUCGUGAGACAGUUCGGUCCCUAUCUGCCGUGGGCGUAGGAAGGUUGAGAGGAGCUGUCCUUAGUACGAGAGGACCGGGAUGGACGUACCUCUGGUGUUCCAGUUGUCGUGCCAACGGCAUUGCUGGGUAGCCACGUACGGUCGGAAUAACCGCUGAAAGCAUCUAAGUGGGAAAUCCUCCUCGAGAUGAGCCUUCCCUGAAGGACCCAGAAAGACUAUCUGGUUGAUAGGCCGGAGGUGCAGGCCCAGCAAUGGGUACAGCUUACCGGUACUAAUCGUCCGAUCGGCUUG